UCCCUGGUGGCUCAGAGGGUAAAGCAUUUGCCUGUGAUGCGGAAGACCCAGGUUCGAUCCCUGGGUCGGGAA
rnacentral:tRNA from 1 species